UACGUAGGGGGCAAGCGUUAUCCGGAUUUACUGGGUGUAAAGGGAGCGUAGACGGCUGUGCAAGUCUGGAGUGAAAGGCAUGGGCUCAACCUGUGGACUGCUUUGGAAACUGUGCAGCUUGAGUGUCGGAGAGGGCGGUGGAACUCCAUGUGUAGCGGUAAAAUGCGUAGAUAUAUGGAAGAACACCAGUGGCGAAGGCGGCCGCCUGGCCUGUUACUGACGCUGAGGCACGAAAGCGUGGGGAGCAAAUAGG
rnacentral:rRNA from 1 species